AAGAUCUGGAAGGUGUCAGGUUUAAGACACAAUUUCAACAAGAAAAGUCAUGGAUAAGGUUUGUUAAGCUCAGAAAACUGAUCAAUAUUGAAGACUAAAGCUGAAUCAGACACAUAAGGUAUGGCUGCCAUCCUCUCUUCCUGAGUGCAACCAUUGCUGCCUCCAGUUCCAUGGUUCCAGCCACUUGAGCAACUCAUAAUCUCCAGGUGGCCUCCAACUCCCAGGUGCUACGUGCCACAUUCAGAUAAAUAUGCUGAGGAAUCCUGCUGCCAAGUUGUGAGAGGACAUCAUUCUUUAGAAGGCCAGAACAGCUCUGUCAUAGCUUGUGCCUUCUUCCCUCGACGAGAUAAGUCCUUCCUGUUCACAGUCUGUAUAAUAGUUAAGUGAGAUCUGUUGUUAACCUGCACUUUUCUGACUGCAGUUAAUUUUGAGCUUCCUCAACUUGCUUGUAAUUGUUGCUACUUUUCAAGAUUGCUGUCUUGAGCUGGUGACUUUUCUUUUAAGUAGUUUUUCAUAUACACUGGAAUACUUGAAAUGUAACAACAGCCCAUCCAUUCUUCCAUGGUCUUGUUCACACUUACCAUACCAUAGAUCUUCGAGUGGAUAGAGUUAUUUUUAUGCUUUUAUUUUUGUGUGUCUGCUGUGCCUGUGUAUCCCAUAUUUUCCAGAGGGCUCACCAUACAUGAAAAGAUUUUUUGUUUGUUUGUUUUGUUUUGUUUUGAACACAUUUGAGUGUAUUUUCCCCUAUGGCAUGGUUUAUAAGCAUCUAAUAUUAUUCUUCUGAAUGACGAUGCUUGACUUUCCCAACAGCACAUGUAGAAGAGACUAGUCUUUCUCUACUAAGUGUUCUCAGCUGUGAUCACAAGGGUUCCUUCCUCCUGAGCUGUAUGGCUUCAUACUGCCUUUAGGGCUGCUUUUAUAACAAUGUCAACCGUAUUAAUCACAGUUGUUUUGUAAGAAUACCAUGAACCCUAGAGCAUGACACCUUCAGGUCUACCCCUUUGUCCUCUGGGGACAUUCAUUUGAUUAUUUGAGAUUUUUUUCUCUUUUGAUUUAAAUUUUAUGACUUUUAAAGCCAUUUCUGUGAGAAAUGUGGUUAAAGUUGUGGUAGAGCCAGGAUACUUAGGUUAGUACAGGUAUUAUUCAAGGAUUUCUAACUUCCAACCCACAAAUAAGAUGGCGUUGCUUUUCUUGUAGAAAUGCUAAAUCAUGCUUGUUUUUCUGUGAAAUUCUAAAUGGAUUUUUUUUUCUUAAUUCCUCCUCCUUCUUUUUCCCUUAUAUAUUGCUUUGUUUCCUCAAAUUUGCCCCAUUUAAAAAGCAUUUCUAAUGUGCUGUAUUGGAGUCUCGUGUGUUAGAAACAUGAGAUCAUGCCAUCUGCAGAGAGUUAAUUUGACAUUAACUCAAACAUACUGUUGUUCCUUUACUUUUCUUCCCCGACUACCCUGGCUAGGAUGCUGUCUCAGUUAAGUUUUCAUUGCUGUGAAGACACACCAUGAGCACAACAAUUUUUAUAAAGGAAAACAAGUUAAUUGGGGCUGGCUUACAGUUUCACUGGUUUAAUCCAUUACCAUCAUGGUGGAAACACUGCAGCCUGCAGGCAGACAUGGUGUUGGAGUAGUAGCGGAGAGUGCUACAUCUUGAUCCACAGGCAGUCAAAGCUACUGUGAGCCACACAGGGCAUAGCUUGAGCAUAGGAGACCUUAAAGCCCAACCCUACAGUGAUAUACUUCCCCCAAAAGGCCACACCUAUUCCCACAAGGUCACACCUCUUAAUGGUGCCACUCCUUGUGGCCAAGCAUUCACACACAAGCAUGAUUCGGUGGGAGCCAUUCCUAUUCAAACCACCACAGACUCUAUGUAGUCUGGUAUAGACUGUUCUAUAAUUUGUAAGAGCAAGACAGGCCUUGUAGAUCUUAAACAUUCGCUGUUGAAGCUCAUUCCUAGGUUACUGAGAGUUUGUCAGGGAAGAAGGUUGAGUUUUUCAAAGCCCUCUCUCUUAGCCAUUCAGCCAAUCACUUAUUUCCAUUCUCUAUUUGUUAUAAUGGUGUGUCUUGUUUAUUGAUUCACACACUCUGAGCCCUUUCAUUUAAAGGGCUGUUCAAUUCAAUCUGCUAGGGUUUUGUUGAGGAUUUUGACACUAAUAUUCAUUAGGGAUAUGUAAUUACUGAUUUUCUUUUUAGUUUCUUGUUUGUUUGUUUGUUUGUUUGUUUUUUGGGCUUUAGUGUCAGUGCUGUUUUGGAUUACAAAAUGAGUUUGGAGAUCUCUCCCUCUUCUCCUUUCUCUCCCCUCCCCCUUCCUUUCUUCCUCUCUCUUCUUCUUUUAAAUUUUUUUUGAAUAAGUUUGAGGAUAGUUUAAUUAAUUUUUCUUUACAAUUUUGGUAGAUUUCACCAAACUUUGAAGACAUUGAGCUUUCUUUAAUGGGAGAUGUUUUAUUCCGAAUUUAUCUCUUUACUGAUUGCUAAUCUGCUCAGAUUCUCAAGCAUUUCAUCAACCACAAAGUUCAGCCUAUUUGUUUUCUAAACUGGCAAAGUGAAUUGAGCUUAAUGGGAAGAGGAUCUGAAAAACUCUCCUUUUUGAAAGAGAAUUGUGCUACCCAGGCUCAAAUGUUUGAGCAGUUGGUCACCGGUUGUUAGUGCUGGAAACCUUUAAAAGUUCUGGAACCAUUAAAAGGUGGACCUCUGCUGGAGGAAGUACAUCACUGGGGGCGGGCUUUAAGGUUCACAGGCUGGCCCAUUUCCUGUUCUCUCUCUGCUUGGUGGGGGCCAGGAAGAGCUCCUGUCUGUGCUGCUGUGCUUUCCCUUCAUGACAGACUGCCCCCCUCUGGAGUUAGAGCCAAAAUAAACCCUUUCUCCUCUAAGUUGCUUGUCUUUAGACAUGCUAUGUUAGCAACAUUAAAGUAAUGAAGGUGGUGAUUUGGAUUUCAACCAGGGAAAUUUCCUUAUUUUGUAUCUGUAAUUACAUGCAUUCAUCUUAUUUAUUUAAUUCAUUAUUAAAUUUAUUCUAACAGUGCUUUUAUAUUUUAAACAUACAAUUAUUGAACAUUGAAGAAACUAAAAACACAGAAAUGGCAAUGUUAUGAACCAACCAAUUGUUAACUGGGAUUUAGUUUUAUAAGAGUGCUUAGAUUUAUUUUAAUACUUGUACUUUUAAUGACAUAAUCAAAUUUUUAGAUAAACAAACAUAUAUAUUUUUUGGGUUUUCAUGCCCAUGUAUGAAGAUUUAAAGACCUAAGAUUUAUAAAAUUUGGUACUAGGUAACUCAGAAAGCAGAAAUGUGUCAUGUGUUCCCAUGAAUUUUAAGUACAUAUUAGGCACAAAAUGAUUAUUUGACCAUAUUUAAAUUACAUUGAAAUAACAGAUAUCAUGAAAUUUUUGUGAGACAGACACCCUGCACUUAAUAUAUUUUACCUUUUACCAACAUGUCACUUUUGUGGACUAUCCCCUGACCUUUUACCUGCAUACCCAAAGGCUAUCCUUAAAGUGAGUUAGUUUGUUUAAUAGUUUAAUUGAACAAAAUUCCUCAUUAGAGUCAUUCCUACUUUCAUUUUGAACACUAAGAAAAUUAAUCACUGAGUAAUAAGUUAGUGUUUAGGGAUUUG